UACGUAGGGGUCGAGCGUUGUCCGGAUUUAUUGGGCGUAAAGCGCUCGCAGGUGGUCCGGUGCGUCGUGCGUGAAAGACCCCGGCUCAACUGGGGGGCGUCGUGCGAUACGGUCGGACUGGAGGCCAGUAGGGGGAUGCGGAAUUCCGGGUGUAGUGGUGGAAUGCGUAGAGAUCCGGAGGAACACCAGCGGCGAAGGCGGCAUCCUGGACCGGCAUUGACGCUGAGGCGCGAAAGCUAGGGGAGCAAACGGG
rnacentral:rRNA from 1 species